ensembl:snRNA U1 U1 spliceosomal RNA
AUAAUUAUCUGGCAGGGGAGAUACCAUGAUCACAAAGGUGGUUUUCCCAGGGCGAGGCUUAUCCAUUGCCCUCCAGAUGUGCUGACCCUUGGGAUUUCCCCAAAUGCAGGAAAUUCAACUGCAUAAUUUGUGGUAGUGGGAGACAGUGUUCGUGCUCUCCCCAG